ACUCCUACGGGAGGCAGCAGUGGGGAAUAUUGCACAAUGGGCGCAAGCCUGAUGCAGCCAUGCCGCGUGUGUGAAGAAGGCCUUCGGGUUGUAAAGCACUUUCAGUCGUGAGGAAGGUAGUGUAGUUAAUAGCUGCAUUAUUUGACGUUAGCGACAGAAGAAGCACCGGCUAACUCCGUGCCAGCAGCCGCGGUAAUACGGAGGGUGCGAGCGUUAAUCGGAAUUACUGGGCGUAAAGCGCAUGCAGGUGGUUUGUUAAGUCAGAUGUGAAAGCCCGGGGCUCAACCUCGGAAUAGCAUUUGAAACUGGCAGACUAGAGUACUGUAGAGGGGGGUAGAAUUUCAGGUGUAGCGGUGAAAUGCGUAGAGAUCUGAAGGAUACCGGUGGCGAAGGCGGCCCCCUGGACAGAUACUGACACUCAGAUGCGAAAGCGUGGGGGAGCAAACAGGAUUAGAUACCCUGGUAGGAUAGCG
rnacentral:rRNA from 1 species